rnacentral:rRNA from 1 species
ACCGUGUACGUACAAGCAGUGGGAGCCUCUCUUUAUGGGGGGUGACUGCGUACCUUUUGUAUAAUGGGUCAGCGACUUAUAUUCUGUAGCAAGGUUAACCGAAUAGGGGAGCCGAAGGGAAACCGAGUCUUAACUGGGCGUUAAGUUGCAGGGUAUAGACCCGAAACCCGGUGAUCUAGCCAUGGGCAGGUUGAAGGUUGGGUAACACUAACUGGAGGACCGAACCGACUAAUGUUGAAAAAUUAGCGGAUGACUUGUGGCUGGGGGUGAAAGGCCAAUCAAACCGGGAGAUAGCUGGUUCUCCCCGAAAGCUAUUUAGGUAGCGCCUCGUGAAUUCAUCUCCGGGGGUAGAGCACUGUUUCGGCAAGGGGGUCAUCCCGACUUACCAACCCGAUGCAAACUGCGAAUACCGGAGAAUGUUAUCACGGGAGACACACGGCGGGUGCUAACGUCCGUCGUGAAGAGGGAAACAACCCAGACCGCCAGCUAAGGUCCCAAAGUCAUGGUUAAGUGGGAAACGAUGUGGGAAGGCCCAGACAGCCAGGAUGUUGGCUUAGAAGCAGCCAUCAUUUAAAGAAAGCGUAAUAGCUCACUGGUCGAGUCGGCCUGCGCGGAAGAUGUAACGGGGCUAAACCAUGCAC